rnacentral:tRNA from 1 species
GGAGCGGUAGUGCAAUCGAUGGCAACAUCGUCUUGUCACGCCGGGGGUCGCGGGUUCGAGCCCGGUCCGCUCCGCCA